rnacentral:lncRNA from 1 species
GUCUCUUUUUAGGAAAUUCUCUGGGUAGUUGCUCCAUUCAGUGACGUGGCGAGACCUAAGCGGCUCAAUGGAAGGAGCAUUUAAACCGAUUCCUGCGACUGCGACGCAUCCCACGGGAACUUGGUUCCAAGCGAACAGCGUGUUCCCACUUCCCACACGAAGCAAACACACGCCGAAGACACCCAUUGCCGGGGCUUCCCGGGACGGUGAAGACGGUCCCGAGAUCUCCACGGGUUUGUUCACGGAGGGAUUGAUGGCCGCGGUGUGGAAUGCGUGGAAUGCGUGCUGGAGCAGCUUAUUACGUCUCCAGGGGUGGAACAAGUAAGACACGACAGCCACCGAGAGAGAAAUCGUAUCCUUUUAUCCAUGCUGUUGCUGGGUAUGUAUUAUGUACGUAGUACAUGUUGUAUAAAUGUAUCUGCGGUGCAAAAAUCGGGUUUUGUUACUAGUAAUUAUGUUAGAAAGGGCUGCGUCUCUGUGCCUCUCCCCUGUAUCGCACAGUCAAGUGGUUUGCGCCGCGGUGGGCGUGGCCUGGCUGCCGAGAGCCCGGGACAGAUCAAUGAACCCCGCCAGAACGCGCUCGCAGGGCAGCGCGAGCUGAUUCAGAGUCGUCGAUGCGUUCGGUUGUUAUUGGAGCGUUUGAGUGAAAAAUUGCGUUGUUGUGACGCGAGAGCAACGGUUUCUUACGUCGUUGAAAGGUAAAAAAGACACGCAAACACGGUAAAAAACGCGGCUCAGCUGUGUGGGGAGAGACACUACGGAUCGGUUAAGAUGAUUUUUUCGAGCACGACGAACCCCGUGAGGACGCCGUACCGCAAACAGGUAGGCCGAAUGCUCAUGAAUGUUAAUGUAUAUUAGAAAUCUCCUUAAAUGAAUUUUU